rnacentral:rRNA from 1 species
GAUGAACGCUGGCGGCGUGCCUAAUACAUGCAAGUCGAGCGAACAGACGAGGAGCUUGCUCCUCUGACGUUAGCGGCGGACGGGUGAGUAACACGUGGAUAACCUACCUAUAAGACUGGGAUAACUUCGGGAAACCGGAGCUAAUACCGGAUAAUAUAUUGAACCGCAUGGUUCAAUAGUGAAAGACGGUUUUGCUGUCACUUAUAGAUGGAUCCGCGCCGCAUUAGCUAGUUGGUAAGGUAACGGCUUACCAAGGCAACGAUGCGUAGCCGACCUGAGAGGGUGAUCGGCCACACUGGAACAGAGACACGGUCCAGACUCCUACGGGAGGCAGCAGUAGGGAAUCUUCCGCAAUGGGCGAAAGCCGGACGGAGCAACGCCGCGUGAGUGAUGAAGGUCUUCGGAUCGUAAAACUCUGUUAUUAGGGAAGAACAAAUGUGUAAGUAACUAUGCGCGUCUUGACGGUACCUGAUCAGAAAGCCACGGCUAACUACGUG